rnacentral:rRNA from 1 species
UAGGGAAUCUUCCACAAUGGACGCAAGUCUGAUGGAGCAACGCCGCGUGAGUGAAGAAGGUCUUCGGAUCGUAAAGCUCUGUUGUUGGUGAAGAAGGAUAGAGGCAGUAACUGGUCUUUAUUUGACGGUAAUCAACCAGAAAGUCACGGCUAACUACGUGCCAGCAGCCGCGGUAAUACGUAGGUGGCAAGCGUUGUCCGGAUUUAUUGGGCGUAAAGCGAGCGCAGGCGGAAUGAUAAGUCUGAUGUGAAAGCCCACGGCUCAACCGUGGAACUGCAUCGGAAACUGUCAUUCUUGAGUGCAGAAGAGGAGAGUGGAACUCCAUGUGUAGCGGUGGAAUGCGUAGAUAUAUGGAAGAACACCAGUGGCGAAGGCGGCUCUCUGGUCUGCAACUGACGCUGAGGCUCGAAAGCAUGGGUAGCGAACAGGAUUAGAUACCCUGGUGAGUCCAUGCCGUAAACGAUGAGCAGCUAGGUGUUGGGGCACUU